rnacentral:rRNA from 1 species
AGUGAAAGCUGGCGGCGUGCUUAACACAUGCAAGUCGAACGAGAACGGAAUAUAGCUUGCUAUAUUUGUCAGCUAAGUGGCGCACGGGUGAGUAAUGUAUAGAUAACCUGCCCUUAAGAAAGGAAUAACAGUUGGAAACGACUGCUAAUGUCCUAUAUGCCUUUAAUACAUAAGUAUGCAAGGGAAACGCUGUAGUGCUUAAGGAGGGGUCUGUAUGGUAUCAGCUUGUUGGUGAGGUAAUGGCUCACCAAGGCUAUGACGCCUAACUGGUUUGAGAGGAUGAUCAGUCACACUGGAACUGAGACACGGUCCAGACUCCUACGGGAGGCAGCAGUGGGGAAUAUUGCACAAUGGACGAAAGUCUGAUGCAGCAACGCCGCGUGGAGGAUGACACAUUUCGGUGCGUAAACUCCUUUUAUAUAGGAAGAUAAUGACGGUACUAUAUGAAUAAGCACCGGCUAACUCCGUGCCAGCCGCCGCGGUAAAAC